rnacentral:misc_RNA from 1 species
GAAAUGCGAUAAGUAAUGUGAAUUGCAGAAUUCAGUGAAUCAUCGAAUCUUUGAACGCACAUUGCGCCCGCCAGUAUUCUGGCGGGCAUGCCUGUUCGAGCGUCAUUACAACCCUCAGGCCCCCGGGCCUGGCGUUGGGGAUCGGCGGAAGCCCCCUGCGGGCACAACGCCGUCCCCCAAAUACAGUGGCGGUCCCGCCGCAGCUUCCAUUGCGUAGUAGCUAACACCUCGCAACUGGAGAGCGGCGCGGCCACGCCGUAAAACACCCAACUUCUGAAUGUUGACCUCGAAUCAGGUAAGAAUACCCGCUGAACUUAAGC